rnacentral:rRNA from 1 species
CCUACGGGUGGCAGCAGUGAGGAAUAUUGGUCAAUGGACGCAAGUCUGAACCAGCCAUGCCGCGUGCAGGAAGACGGCUCUAUGAGUUGUAAACUGCUUUUGUACGAGGGUAAACGCAGAUACGCGUAUCUGUCUGAAAGUAUCGUACGAAUAAGGAUCGGCUAACUCCGUGCCAGCAGCCGCGGUAAUACGUAGGGGGCAAGCGUUAUCCGGAUUUACUGGGUGUAAAGGGAGCGUAGACGGUGCGCCAAGUCUGGAGUGAAAUGCCGCAGCUUAACUGCGGAACUGCUUUGGAAACUGGCGAACGAGAGUGCGGGAGGGGUAAGCGGAAUUCCUAGUGUAGCGGUGAAAUGCAUAGAUAUCACGCAGAACUCCGAUUGCGAAGGCAGCAUACCGGCGCCCAACUGACGCUGAAGCACGAAAGCGUGGGUAUCGAACAGGAUUAGAUACCCCUGUAGUC